GACCUGCCGCGCGCACGCGCACGGCGUCCGGACCCGCCGCCUCGCUCCGGCUUGGCCCCGCCCUCCGGAGCCGUGUUCCCGCCCCUCACUGCCCCGCCGAAGCCCGGUGACCCGAGGCCUUGCCCCAUUCUCCAAGCGAGAUUGGAUGGUUUGUCCAAUACAAAAGGAAAGAAAGUAGUUUUCCAAGGUUAUGGAAUAAUUCAGGGAAGACUUUUCUAUAAGAACCACCCGGAGGGAAUUAUCUCCCCGUACUCCCUGGACCAUGCCCUGCGGUCCUGUGUUAAGUAAGCUGCAAAAGUGAACAAAAAAGUUUUGUCUCCUCAAGUUGGCUGAAAGUGUGGCAGCCCAUCGUUGGUCACUGCCUUACUUAUGGAUCUCAGGUUGUUGGUUUAGCGUCCCUGAUAAGCAUAAAUGAUGUUUACUACGUGGCGUUCAGGAAAAGGAUGAGAACAGCAAACAGGCAAAGGAGUUCUUUCUCCAGCCCACCCACUCGUACCGAUGUCCCAUGGCCCUUCCUGGACGGAAAGAGUCUUACAGGGGUUCAAACAAGCCAUACGCUGAGAUGGGAUUUAGAGUAUGUAGCUCUUCCAGAAACUCGGGAUAUCAAUUUAGUGUGUAGGUACUCAUCAAAGCACGUUGCAGUAUAAUUAAUGCUACCUAGCUUUUAUCAGAUCUCUAAUGGGAAAGCUUGCAUUUAAGAAUACUGGGCAGGGGGCGGUGGCUCACGCCUGUAAUCCAAGCACUUUGGGAGGCCGAGGCAGGUGGAUCACCUGAGGUCAGGAGUUUGAGACCAGCCGGGCCAACGUGGUGAAACCCUGUCUCUACUAAAAAUACAAAAUUAGCCAGGUGUGGCGGCACACGCCUGUAAUCCCAGCUACUCGGGAGGCUGAGACAGGAGAAUUGCUUGAACCCGGGAGGCGGAGGUUGCAGUGAGCCAAGAUCGCGCCAUUGCACUCCAGCCUGGGGGACAAGAGCGAGACUUCGUCUCAAAAAAAAAAAAAAAAAAAGAUGUAAUGUUCUUACAUGAUGCCACUAUCUCCUUCUUACGCCUAGUUUCAUAAUGACUAAUAAAAUGAAGUUUACUUUUAUCAAUUGGAAAAGCCUGCCAGCUUCUUUUGUCUUUUCCAGGGAAUGAAAGGAAUUAUGUAAUAAUUUCAGGAUCAUAAAGAAUAAUGUUUCAUGCCAGGUUUUUGCCCAUUAAACUGAGCCAACAUAGUUAAGGGAACAGCUAGUCGUAACUCAGAGAAAUUUGUGAUUAUUAAUAUCAAGUUUCUGUUUGUUUUUUGGUAAUGAAACUUUAAUAGGAAAUGAAGGCAAGGAGUGUGUCACAGUCAGCAGUGAUGUUGCAGAGAAGGAAUCUUCCUAUUUAUCAUUUAAACAAUAUUAUUUCCUUUUUUUUUUUUGAUAAGAGUCUCGCUCUGCUGCCCAGGCUAGAGUGCAGUGGUGCAAUCUUGGUGCACUGCAGCCUCUGCUUCCCAGGCUCAAGCGAC
rnacentral:lncRNA from 1 species